rnacentral:lncRNA from 7 species
GGCCACUUCCUUUCCCCACUGCAGUCUCACUGUCCCCAAGCUGCUCCUGCCUCAUGGCAUCAAUGGCGGUGAACCUCAUUCUCGGUUGGUGGCUGGUGGCAGCGAGCAGGGCACAGCAAUCACACUGUGGGAACACGCAGGUCGUUAUCGGUGUCAGUACCGGGUGUCUUGGUCAGAAGAGGUGUCAGUGGAGAGUGACCCCGUGGAGCUGGUGCUGACAGAUGUCAGAUAUCCCCCAUCCAGCAUUUCCCUUCACCCUGAGCAACAUGUGGGAACAGGGACCAAUGUCACCAUCCGCUGCUGGAACAAUGAUUAUGGGGCCACCUUCUUCCUGCACAAGGAUGGGAGCUCAGACCCUCUCCAGUGCCAGGACUCCAGUGGUGGGGCACAGCCACUUUCACCCUCUUUGGGGUGACCCCAGCUGACAGUGGCACCUACAGGUGCUCCUAUCACCCCAAGAACUACUCCUUUCUUUCCUCACCCCUUGGGGACAGCAUGACGCUGGAGGUGACACCCACACCUGCACCCCCAGGUGCUGAGUUGGUGUCCCGUGGGAACCUGGUGGUGGCAGUGGUGAGGGGCUGCGCUGCUGUCCUCAUCUUUGCCCUCGGCAUCUUCUUUGUCAUCGAUGCCCGCAGCCUCUGGAUACGGAGAGAUGAGAGUCUGGGUGGGGAAGGGAUUUAAUGGCUUGGAUCUCCUGUACAUCUCCUACACAUCUCCCCAGUCUUUCUCUUCCUCUCCUUCCAUUCCUCGGUAGAAUCCACCAGGUGUACCAUUGGAUCCACUAUACAUUGCCUAUCGAUUCCCUCAGAUGUUCCCUGCCCCCAUUCCAUUACCUAUAAAUCCAUCAUGUAUCCCCUGCCUCCCCUUCCAGACCCUAUAAAUUAUCUAGUCC